UGACUGGUAUCUACUGGGAUUCCUCAGUGGC
rnacentral:piRNA from 1 species